rnacentral:rRNA from 1 species
ACACCGGCAGCUCAAGUGGUAGCCGCUUUUAUUGGGCCUAAAGCGUCCGUAGCCGGUCUGAUAAGUCUCUGGUGAAAUCCCGCAGCUUAACUGUGGGAAUUGCUGGAGAUACUAUCAUGACUCGAGGUCGGGAGAGGCUGGAGGUACUCCCAGGGUAGGGGUGAAAUCCUGUAAUCCUGGGAGGACCACCUGUGGCGAAGGCGUCCAGCUGGAACGAACCUGACGGUGAGGGACGAAAGCCAGGGGCGCGAACCGGAUUAGAUACCCGGGUAGUCCUGGCCGUAAACGAUGUGGACUUGGUGUUGGGAUGGCUUCGAGCUGCCCCAGUGCCGAAGGGAAGCUGUUAAGUCCACCGCCUGGGAAGUACGGCCGCAAGGCUGAAACUCAAAUGAAUUGGCGGGG